CCCACAUUAGGUUUUGAUAAAAGUGGAAGAGGAGAAAUAGCAGCGCCGCCAGUAACACCACCUUCUUCUCAAGAUCUAAAUUCGAAUCAUGCAAAGAUUGCCAAGACUACCACUCCGAGGAGCACCACCCGCGGGGCCGGAAGAAACUUCGAUUGAGGCUGCAAAACCUAAAGAGUGCCUAGGAGAAGCAGGUGGAAACCCACCUUAGAGAAGGAGCUCGACUCUUAUUCCCUUAUUAUAAGGAAGCCGUGACUGAGAAAGUACACGAACUGAGCCAGUGCAUAGUUUACGGAACGCCGUUAUCGCGAUUCCGCUGGAGGAGAGUGACUUCCGUUGAUGUUUGUUGACGAGAUCUACUAACAGAUUGAAUGGGGAGGUCAGUAGCGACGCAAUCGUGCUGGCGGAGUCGGUAACCUACACCACUGUGAUGAGUAACGUGUUGUUUGCGGGAUGGAGAGUGACUUAUGGAUUGCCUAAUGUCGAUGCUGAUGUAUUAAAGAACUAGACCGAAUCGUGUCUUUAGUGUUGGAAGACGAGAAAUUUGAAAUUGUUGACGCAAUCUGUCCGAGAACAGUUUGGUGUUCGAUCGCAUGUGCCCGAAUCGACGCAUGUGCCCGAGAGGAUCAUGAUAGCAUUAUUGCGGUCUCUGGUAAUGUGGUCUCUGGUAAUGUGGUCUCUGGUAAUGUGGUCUCUGGUAAUGUGGUCUCUGGUAAUGUGGUCGCUACUAGUGUAGUUAGUUUUGGUGGUUGAAUGUAUUUUGAUUAUAAUUAAUUAAAUUAUUUAUUUUUCUUGAAAGCAAGAGUGUGAUAUUUUAUGUGGCUGUUGGUAAUGUGACUUUCUUUCUGUGCAUUUAUCUAGCCAUAUUAAGUAGUAGUUGGUGUUUCAUUGUUUUCACCUUUCCAUGAGUUCUUUAUCUGAUCAAGUUUUGGGAAAGAGAUUAUUUGCUUAUUUACUAUUUUUUUUUUUCAGAAAUGAUAGAAGCUGUAUAAGGGCUAAAGAAGGCAUCCACAAAGCUCAGUAAAGGCAAUCCAUAAGUCUCUCCCCCGCAAACACGUUAGUCUUUACAGUGGCGUAGGUCCCCGACUCAGCCAGCACGAUUGCGCCGCUACCGACCUCUCUAUUUAAUCUGUCAUGGAUCUGGUCAACAAGCUUUAACGAAGGUCACUCCCCUCCAGCACAAUCGGGAUGACGACCUUUCGUGAACCACCGUACUGGCUCAGUUUGACAUGCACUUUCUCAGCCACAGCUUCCUUCUAAUAGCGGAACAAGGCGUCAGGUUUCCGCUUGCUUCUCCUCGACACUCUAAUAUAUGACACAAUGACACAUUUGUUUAUAAUUGUUUAUUUGAUUAAUAACAUGUCAUUUAUGUCAUACGUUAUUAUUACAAUGUUG
rnacentral:sRNA from 1 species